rnacentral:rRNA from 1 species
UACGAAGGAGGCUAGCGUUGCUCGGAAUCACUGGGCGUAAAGGGUGCGUAGGCGGGUCUUUAAGUCAGGUGUGAAAUCCUGGAGCUCAACUCCAGAACUGCCUUUGAUACUGAGGAUCUUGAGUUCGGGAGAGGUGAGUGGAACUGCGAGUGUAGAGGUGAAAUUCGUAGAUAUUCGCAAGAACACCAGUGGCGAAGGCGGCUCACUGGCCCGAUACUGACGCUGAGGUGCGAAAGCGUGGGGAGCAAACAGG